UGAUUGCCGGCGGCUCCCGCAGCUAUUGAUCGCGAGCUCUUUACCUGAAAACGGUGAUGGGUGACGUUCCUGCGCGUUAAAUGGCAAAAAAGGAGGGAUUUAACUUGUUGGAGUCAUAUUACGUCCCAAUUACAAAUCACACACUCUGAUUAUGGACAGCCCCUGUGCAGAAGAAGAUCGAGGAUAACUUGUGUCCACUCCAGGUCUGAGGUGGCAGAAUUUAAAAGAUUGGUAAAGAUGAAACAAAAACAGAAAUACAGGAAGAACUCAGCCAUUCAAACAACAUCUGUGGAAAGAGAAACCAGUCAAAUAUGAUGAUGUGCCACACCUGCAUGGAAGGAGAGGACGGAAUUGAACAAUAUUUGAUUCUUCCUAGCUAUACAAUAUUUUAACCAUUGAGCAGUUGCUUGAAAACAAACCAAAACUGCUGAGAGACUAAGCCAGGGUAAUCGACACAAUAUGGCGCACUUCCAAAUAAUGAAAUUCCAAAUUGGAAAAGGCUGGGAUCCUGUGAGGAUCUUUUAAUCUACACUCAAAACUGCAGUUCUGCACAGCAGUGUUCCCGUUCUUGGAGCUUGUCGAUUGGCUGUUUCAAUAUGUCCAGGUCUGGCCUGAAGUCGGGCACCUUUGGGGCCUUUCACAGCCUUGUGGACAUGAAUUCUCACUGAUGUCAGAAUUAAAGUGUAGCGGGAGCCGGAACAUCGAAGAUAGCGAGAGUGGCUGUUGGAGGGUUCUCUCUCUCUCUCAAUGACUUCCAGCAUCUGCAGUUCUUUGGACAAUCCCAUGAAGAGGCAUGCAUACCUUGGGAGUAAGUGAGUGUUCAACUUUGAUCUGGAGAGGCAUACUAUCCGCAAGGCUUCCUCAUCUUCAGGGAUAUUAUCUGGCAGCGGCGGGAGCAGAGGUUCAUAGUCUUUCUGAGCCACAGCAUCGUGAGCAGACAAUAAUGCCUGACCUGCUGAGUGUUUGAGCAUUUCCUGGCUUUCAUCUUUCAGACUCAAGUGGCAUCACAAUGUGC